rnacentral:misc_RNA from 1 species
UUUCCGUAGGUGAACCUGCGGAAGGAUCAUUAUCGUAAAAAAAAAAUGUGCGAGGCGUGCAAGGGCUGUCGCUGACUUUUGACACAAAAGUCGUGCACGCCAGAGUGUGUCCUCUCACACAAAAUCCAUCUCACCCUUUUGUGCACCACCGCGUGGGCACCCUUCGGGAUCAAACCGAUCCAGGAGGGGGCUUGCGUUCUCACACAAACCCCCUUUUUAAAAGUGUAGAAUGACCCCAUUUUUGCGAUAACACGCAAUCAAUACAACUUUCAACAACGGAUCUCUUGGCUCUC